rnacentral:rRNA from 1 species
AGUGAACGCUGGCGGUAGGCCUAACACAUGCAAGUCAAACGGCAGCACAGGAGAGCUUGCUCUCUGGGUGGCGAGUGGCGGACGGGUGAGGAAUACAUCGGAAUCUACUCUGUCGUGGGGGAUAACGUAGGGAAACUUACGCUAAUACCGCAUACGACCUACGGGUGAAAGCAGGGGACCUUCGGGCCUUGCGCGAUUGAAUGAGCCGAUGUCGGAUUAGCUCGUUGGCGGGGUAAAGGCCCACCAAGGCGACGAUCCGUAGCUGGUCUGAGAGGAUGAUCAGCCACACAGGAACUGAGACACGGUCAAGACUCCUACGGGAGGCAGCAGUGGGGAAUAUUGGACAAUGGGCGCAAGCCUGAUCCAGCCAUACCGCGUGGGUGAAGAAGGCCUUCGGGUUGUAAAGCCCUUUUGUUGGGAAAGAAAUCCAGCUGGCUAAUACCCGGUUGGGAUGACGGUACCCAAAGAAUAAGCACCGGCUAACUUCGUGCCAGCCGCCGCAGUAA